AAAGUUAUAAUGAUCCACGUUUUAGAGAUGAAAAAUCUAUUGAAGUAACAGUGAAAGCUACUUAUCGACCACAACAAACCAAUAUUACCAUCAGUCCAAUGUCAGUAAAAAAAGGUCAAAAUGUGACAAUAACCUGUGAAUCAGAUGGUUAUCCUGAACCAACCUACACUAUUUAUCAUAAUGGCGCAGUUAUCAGUAAUAAUAAGACAUACAUCAUUCAAUCUGUCAACUUCAAUCACGUUGGUUCAUAUCGUUGUGAAGCAAAGAAUAAACUGGGAAAUGAUUUAUCUGAUGUUAAAAAUCUUACUAUCAUCAGAGUGGUGAAAAUGGUGUUGAAGCUUUAGCAGGAGCUAAUAAUGCACAACCCAAUCAUUAUGAAGUGGCUGGAGAACUUAGAGAAAAUGCUUAUGAAUCUGUUGGUAAUCAAUAUGAAUCAGUAAAUAAUCCAUCAACAAGUGAUGAAAAUAAACCAUCAACAAGUAAAGCACCACCACCUGUUUAUGCCUCCAUCGAUAGAAAAAACAGAGAAGGAAAUCCGUUAUACUCCUCACUUGAUUUAAAAGAUGUCCCUUAAAAAAACCUGGCCCAAAAUCGUCCUGCACCGUCUGAAUACGCCAGACUUGAUAUGAGUAAACUGGCACCUGUCGAGAAAAAGACGACAAGAAAGGCGAAGACAAAAAAGGCGAUGAAAAGAAGGAAUAAACUGGCGAUCGUCGUUAAUAAAACAAGAGUACGUAAAGACUUACUACAUUUAUAAAGUUUUAUUUUGUUCUUCAUUAUAUAAUCUAGAUUUGAUCUCUAAACAGUAUUAAACUGAAUACUUUAUGAUUGUGUCUGUGUACAUAAUCUUUUGCCAUGAACAAACUUGAAUCUUGGCAUCUAUGCUACAGUUUGUGAAUGUAUUUUACUUGCCUUUAUAAGGCAACAACAUUACACACUGACUUUAACACAGCAUUUUGAAUAGAAUAGUUUUAAUC